GAUCAGAGAUUGGAAGUACGAUCGGGUUUUAGCUUGCUGCUGUGCAUUGCUGAAGGGGUGGAGAUGACCCCACAUGUUCGUGCAUUAUGUGCCUAUCUAACUAGAGGGGAUUCAUACCUUUCGAUCCCAGACGUGAUGUGCAUAUGCCCCAAAUCCAGAAUCGAAUUAAUCGAUCGAUGGCCAUACUUGAACCCGAGCACGACCAAUCGUAAAACUGAUGAUGAUGCAGGUACUAUGGUGCCAAUGGUGAGUGACCUAGCAUCUUCUAGGGCUGAGUAUGGUGUGAGUGACUGAUGGAUGCCAGAAGCAGAGGAGCACAAUCAGGACUGUGCUUGUGAUCAUUGUGCUUACGUCGCACCGUGAGAUUGCACAUCAUCUUUCGAUACUUCUAGAUAUAGUUGUGGAUUGUAUAUUUUCUUGAGAUUAUAUUAUAUGUCAUGGAUGAAUGUAACAGGAUAACUCGGUUAUUGCUAUCAUAUUACCAUUAGAUGUU